rnacentral:lncRNA from 1 species
AUACACUUGCCUGUUAGAAAUAUCGCCCUGGGCUGCCAGCUCAGCGAAGGAGAAAAGCGGGUGUGUGUUACCGAGGGAAGAUGGGGGUCACCUCCCUGCCGGGGGGGACACCUCACCCCUUCCCUGCCCUCCUUGGGCUGCUGCACCUGCAAGAACCCCUCCUUGUGCUCUGCUGCUCAUGGGGUGCUUAGAGCUGAGCAUCCUCACGGGGGGAUGCCCUACGGGGAGCUCCCAACGUCCCCUCCGCAGCUCCUACACCCCCAGGGUCGCCGGGCUGCAGUGGAUGGAUUUCAGCCCAGCUGGCAGUUUGGGAUCGUUAACCAUGAAGGUGCCCCUGGGAAGAAGCGAAAAAGGUUCUAGGAUGAACACGAAGCAGUCGACAUAGGAAUGGCCAAUCCCCAUAAGCUGUCGAUGAGACUUUCCUCUCCAGACCAGCUCAGCUGGACGCAUGGUAUUGUCAAGGGUUAGAGCAAGAUGGAUGGUUCCCCAGGCCCAUGGAAUGAGCAGAUAGAGGCAGCCCUGUCGACUCUGGCAUCCCAUUAAGCCAAGCUGCGGGAGGAGGCCGCCGUCGGACUUAUUACAUUUGCCCCCACCCGGACCCCAAACAUCAGCCCCAGUGUGGGGUGCCCCCGGCUCGGCUGCCCGUGCCCCACAUUGCCGGGUGCCACCCGCACCUCUACCCUAUCCAUCCCCCACAUCAGCAUGGGAAUCGCCUCUUGCAUCCCUCAGUGUCAGCCCACACCGAUUUGUCACUGAUAGGUGACAAGCACUGUGUGGCUCAGUGUGGCUCCGGGUAAGGGCAGCCGGGGGGGGGGGAGCUCAGACAGCCCCCAACCCACCGCUGACCAGGGCUGCUGUGCCUGGUGAAACAGCAGUGAGGAAGGGGGGAAAAACAAGGCAAAAAUAGAAGGAAAAAUGAUGGGAUGAAAAAAAUGAAACAAACCCCAUCGUGUUCAGGAGCCCAAGAACCACGCAGCCCCAUGGGGGGGUCGGCAGUGGUGACAGGGGCACCCGGCUGCCCCAUCUCCACCGCCCGCUUCCUUCGCACGGAUAUUUCCACUUUAAUACUUAACAAGGAUUUAAAACCCUUCUGCAGCCGGAGUUUGUUGGCAGCGAUAAAUUUUGAAUAGCUUAUAAAUAAUGGAGGCAAGGUGGUGCCUCCGGCUGGGAGAAGGGGUGAGGCCCCACCUGCCAUCAGGAGAGGGUGAGGAGCAGCCCUGGUGCAUACCGCUCGGUGACGAUGGCAUCACAGUGCACAGCCCAGCAUGGCCAGGCUGCUUCACACCUCCUGAUAGGGAUGAGCCAGCAUGCAAGUAUCAUGGGAUGGAAUUAUGGAUGGACGGAGAAAUGCAUGCAGUCCCUUUCUAUAUAUAUGUGUGCGGAUGCACGUACAGAGAGACAAAUAUAUAGAGCUGUGCACAGCCACAAGCAUGCGUGCUUGCAUGCAUCUCUAUGGGUCAAAUUGCCCACCUCCCCUUGACCUCCCCUCCAUGCCUUGCUCCCAUCGAACCCAUAUCCCACCCCAUGUGCUGCAGAUGCAACAGGCAGCAGCUCCUGCAGGGCACCUCACACACUGCUCCACACUUUGGGGCCAGGAGGGGAUUUGGGAAGAGGGCUGGAAGGGAUGAUUUCAUCCCCAUGAGAACUGGAGAGCGUUUCUGUGCACGGCAGGGGUGGAUGCAAUGUCUGCUCCCUGCUUUUCCCUGGCACUUUGUAGCAAGUCAGUAAUUAGGUUAUAGCACCGCUCUGGCUUAAUUUCUACGCACCAACGUCCAAUAAAUGUGUAUGGAGUUUGUAUGUGUGCCUGUAGUAUAUAAAAGCUAUAGGAAAAUGGCCAGACUUCACUACAUUAAUUCAUAAAGCAGGUCAUUCUUGUCUGGCCCUUUACCUCACUUGUUAUUUCUAUUUAUUAGUAAUAUUGAUGUUUCAACCAGGGAUCAGGACCCCAUUGAGCCAGCUUUAAUAACAGAAAAGAUUUAGCAGGAGAGAGCCCUGUAAUGAACCAAUAAUCACAACAGCGGCGCUCACGUAGUGCAGCUCACAAACAGCAUUGUUAUUUGUACAGUGUUUUAUUUGCUAUUUCACUUUUGCAGCGAGCCCAGCAUCUCCCACUGCACCAGUUUGGCCAUGCCAAGGCUUUGUUGAGGGUGAAAAUGGAAUGAAUGAGUGUUGGCUUCGGAGGGCCAUCAGCGUGGGCUGGUACCCAUGGUGUAAGCGGGGCCUGCCAAAGGGUUUGCUGUGCAUACGGGUGGAUUCUGUGCAUGGGUGGGUUCCCUUCUCUGCUCCCAUCGCCCUUCCAAAGGGCUUUCACAGCAGCUCCUUUUAACGCUAUCUUCUGGAGAUAUCUUAUGGAGAGGAUGGAGCACCAGCAUUCUGCUGGCUAAAGCAUGGGGUGAUGUGGGAUGGGGGGAUCCCAGGGGGCUGUGAGUGAUGGGGCAGUGCGUACCCUCGGGGCUGGCACUGGGCUGCAGCCGGCACAGCGGAGGCAUUUGGGCUGCAUUAAGGAACGAUCACACACUGUGAAUGCCAAAACUAAUUUUUCAAUCAGAACCGCUUGGGAGCCGUACAAAGCCCAGGACCACAUCUAAACCAACUUCAGCUUCGUCGCCUGCUGAGACAUUGAACACGAGCCAGUCCUCAGCUCUGAGCCAAGAUACACUUAGGGAGGGUUUGUCUGGCAAGAACCUCUGGAACUAUUGAUCCGUGAGAAAAAGUGAUCAAGGGAAGUACAGCUGUCCUGGUUAUUGCCUCACCAUGCUCUCUACCAGCUGCAAAACUUCACCAGCAGAGACAACGAGAGAAGAGCUGCGCAGCAUCCUUCCUUCAUGCAAACUCUGCUCUGUGUCUGAAAGCCCAGCGCAGAGCUGGAGCUGCUGCAGCACCGGGGAUGGUGCACGGUGGGGAGAACCGGGGAGCAAACAUCGUCUGAACAGGGACAAAGGCAUUAUAAAUGAGUGCUGCCGGAUCUCCUGUCAGCCAGGGUGGUGUUACCUCUGCAUUUAUACUUCAGUAAUUUCUGCAUUUCUCUAAUUUCUUAAAUUGCCUGUAAGAUGAUAAUAUUUCCUAGAACAUGGUGAAUAGAUUAACUGCACGCUACGGCGCUAUCCAAAACUGCUUCGAGCAGCAUUAAAACCAGAUGUUCCCAAAGAGCCAAGGGAAAAUGUUACCUGCGCUGCUCACCAGCCAAGGGGCGAACUGCCUGUGCCUUACGUAGCAAUGCUGCUUUUCCUGGGAUCAUGGAAAACCAGCAACACGAGGCAUCUCCACGCCACAGCUCUGGCAACGUGUGCUCCACCACAUGCCCUUGCUUCCCACGCUGCCUGCUGCCAUCCGUGGCUGCGGGGCACAGGGACGGCAUGGCCAGGAGCAGCAGCCUGACCUACUUCAGUGCAGUGCAAUGGCCUCUCUGCCACGCAUCCUCGCACAGACACGAAGCACAGUUUGAGGGCAGCGGACCCGCAUGGGGUGGGAUGCUGUCCCAGCCUCCACCAGCUAGCAUUGCUCCGGCUGCCUCCGAGCGCUCUCACCGCUGCGUAUCAACUCACAGGCUCCAUUAACAAAUCAAAUUGCCACUGAUGUGCUUCUCAUUACAUCUCGGGGCUUACGCGUCGUUAUUUCAUUUAAAAGACGGCAUUUGUUUUCCCUUCCCUGAUUCCACGUCCCCAAAAUCUCAUUAGGAGAUCGCUGCUCAUUAUGAAGUGCUGCUCAGUGUAACGUGCUGGGGGUGCAGGACUCAGCAAAGGGCCCCACAUGGAGGUGGGGGGGGGGGGGGGGAGAGGGUAAUGAAGAGCCAUUGAAUGAGGAGUGCCGAGGCUUAAUUUGGGAGGAGAGGAGCGGACUGUGGAUGCUGACAGCACCGCAAUGCGAAUCCCCCUUGGAGCACCCAAAGAAUCGGCCUAAAUGGAUUAAUGUGAGGACAGAGAAGAAAUGACUUCAGUUGUUUCCCUGAUUCAAUUCCGUUUAUUUUUAUACGGCGUCUUCAUGCAAAGCAUCUCCCAGCUGCUUCAUCCAGAAGAGGGAUAACAGAGGAUCACCGCGCUGGCUCAGCUCUCACCAGUGCUGGCAUUGCAGUGGGAGGGAGGAACACAAGCGCUGGCCUUGAGGAUUUGACGUCCCAAAUCAUCAGGAGAUCAUAUGCCAUUUUUUUCUCUUCUUUUUCCAGUUCCAAUAUUGGUAAUUUCCCUAGGCUUUCCUCAAAGCAUCGCUGCAAUAUACUCGGGCUGAUUCUAAUCUCACGCUGCUUUUAUAGCACUGUAAUUCCGAUCUCACACUGGUUUUAUACUGGUGCAGCCCCACUUAUUUCAACUGAGUAAAUUCCUGAUUUAUGUCAGUGCAAACGACGGCAGAAAUGGGCCCGCAGCUCUCCCUGGAGCAACGCCUGGCUCCCACCAGGGUGAGGAAGAGGAAGAUCAGCUCGUUUGCAAUGCAAAUGGUGUAGAAAACUGCUGCCACAUUACACCCAGACCCUCACUUUGCGAUGCGCUUUUGCUCUCUUCUAUGAAAUGCACUUUGUUGCAUUUUGGAAACCCACAGGAGGUCACUGAGAAGCGACGUGUGGCUCUGCUGGGUGUCCGUGGGGACCGACCCGUUUAUUGCCUUCGCCCUUCUCUCUUCCUCAGCCCCACCACCACUCUGUUGCUGUUUCAAGGACGUUUCGUUGCCUUAAUUUACUCUCUGUGAUGUGAAGGGAUGCAGUGACUUAUCCUGAUACCCAUCCCAGAGGCUGCACCUCAGCAGUGCAGUGUUGGUGUUGGUUAAUAAGCCCCUUGCAGACCAAAGCAAGACUGUGACUGCUGCAUCCACCUGGGCAAGCUGCGUCCUCUCUUGCUUAUGCUAAGGGAGGAAAAAUAGGGGCUGUUGUAACUAAUGGCUGUGGGGUGGAGUGAUUUUCCCCUUCCGUUUGCUCUCAGGAAAGAACAGGACGGAACUGGGAGAGGAAGGCAGGCUGAAAAGGGGGAUGGAUAAGGACCUUGGUUGGUUGUCUCUGCUUGGGUGCUGGUCCCUCACAAUGGGGGGGUCCCUGAGCUCCCACCCAUUGCUGUGCCCUGAGGAGCACUGCUGCAGUGCCAUACCCACCCAUUGUGCACCUAUGUGAUGCUCAGACAGCAAGAAGGUGAGGGUUGCUGGUAUCACCUCUCCUAUGGGGCUGUGCAAACUCAUACUCACUGAUGCCCCUCUGCCAUUGCAAAGUGGGAAACAACCUUGUGCAGCCACUGGACAAAGUCUUCCCUUCACACCCAGCCUGGCAGCACUGAGCCCUGCUCCAUGGAGAGGAGCAAACCCUGAUCCCACAGCCCAGCAGAGCCCCCCCAGCCUAGCAGUCAGACCCACAAGCUGACAUCAGCAGAACGAAGCAUGGCCCCAGCAGUAAUCUGAUAGAACCCAAUGGCAGUUUGGGUUGGGGGGGGGGGGGGAGGGGAGGGGAGGCACUGAAAGAAGAGGCACUGAAAGUACACUUCCUUCAGUGCAUUGCUGGGGAGACCAUUAGGAAAACCACUAGAUUAUUUUUCACAUUCUUCAGCGCAAAACUACUGCGUUUUAUGACCACUAUCAAUAACAGCUAUCAUAUUACUAAUGCUACAGUUGCCACAUAUAUAAUAUUUAAAUCACAUUUGUGGCUGACAGAGACCUAUGGAUAUUCUCGAUCCCAACAGGCUAUUACAGUUCAUAUCGUGUCUGUCAUAUAAAUAUUAUGAAUCAUUUCCCACUAUCUUUAUGGGGGCUACAUUGACAUCGUCGAAAAGGCUCUGGGCUGGAUACUGGCUGCAUAUUUAUACACACCUUAUGUAUAUGUAUGUGAAUGGAGGGAGAUUUAUUCAACAAUCACCAGUAAUAAAUGCCUAUGAUAAACCAUAUUAUCUUCACACUUCAUUUGCAAAGUGUUUUGUAUGCAAGGACUGGGGGGAAGGCCCUGUCAGUGGCACAUCCUCAAGCUCUGGUGUGAGGCUUUGUGGUGAGGUUGCUCACAGCUGGCACAGCCCUAUCGCAGCCCCAGGUGAAGCAGGGAG